GGGGGUACCGGUACAGAGUCAAUGUGGGGGCUAUAUACAGGGGGUACCGGUACAGAGUCAAUGUGGAGACUAUAUACAGGGGGUACCGGUACAGAGUCAAUGUGGAGACUAUAUACAGGGUAUUACGGUACAGAGUCAAUGUGGAGGCUAUAUACAGGGGGUACCAUUACAGAGUCAAUGUGGAGGCUAUAUACAGGGGGUACCGGUACAGAGUCAAUGUUUAGGCUAUAUACAGGGGAUACCAGUACAGAGUCAAUGUGGAGACUAUAUACAGGGUGUUAUGGUACAGAGUCAAUGUGGAGGCUAUAUACAGGGUAUUACGGUACAGGGUCAAUGUGGAGGCUAUAUACAGGGGGUACCGGUACAGAGUCAAUGUGGAGGCUAUAUACAGGGUGUUACGGUACAGAGUCAAUGUGGAGACUAUAUACAGGGGGUACCGGUACAGAGUCAAUGUGGAGACUAUAUACAGGGGGUACCGGUACAGAGUCAAUGUGGAGGCUAUAUACAGGGGGUACCGGUACAGAGUCAAUGUGGAGACUAUAUACAGGGGGUACCAGAACAGAGUCAAUGUGGAGGCUAUAUACAGGGGGUACCGGUACAGAGUCAAUGUGGAGGCUAUAUACAGGGUGUACCAGUACAGAGUCAAUGUGGAGGCUAUAUACAGGGGGUACCGGUACAGAGUCAAUGUGGAGGCUAUAUACAGGGUGUUAUGGUACAGAGUCAAUGUGGAGGCUAUAUACAGGGGGG
ensembl:lncRNA